CCCUGCUUCACUGGCACCAUAAAGAUGCUGGAAAAUGCAGAUACAAUUAGCAUGGCCUCUGCACAAGCAUGACAUGAAUAUUUGCAAAGCAUUCCUUCUAUUU